GCAUCUUCUCCACUCUGACUCUCCCCCAACCCCAAUGUCCCUCGGCUCCCGCAGCGACUGGAACUCCAUCGCAAGUUACUCGAGCUUGGACGGAACGACAAGCUCUGAGGUGGUGAUCGCAGAGCAAGAAAUCACAGGUUUGGCUUGAUCGAACUUAAACGGCGUCGGAGGCAUUUGAAGGGUUUAAGUGACUUGUGGAUGUGCUGUUGGAGUUGCUGCUGCAUUUAGAGCUCCAAUUGGUGGUGUGUUCUUUGCUUUGGAAGAGGUUACAUCUUGGUGGAGGAGUCAACUAAUGUGGCGUGUCUAUAGAUAACAAGCUCUUACUUUUUGUGUUUUUUACAAAAUGUUACAUUCACUACAUAUAUGAUAUAGAAACCAUGAGAAAUGAACGAGAAAUGCUAUCUGUAUAACACCUAGAGAGAAAUACAAGACUUUGUCGUACAUGUUUUAUGGUGUUACUGGUUUUCUAGUAAUGAAAAAAAUAUGAUGUGAUACACAAUAUAGACAUGAAAAGUAUUUUUCUAUAGACAAUGUAACAAUUGUAUGAAUAAUACAUGGCUUCUUAAUUAUUCUUUAUGUCUGUUUCUACUUCUAAUUUGCAAAUUAAAAGCAGACCAAUGGAUCCACUCCUGUGAGAGGAGAAACAGUGGCCAAGUUGAAGGUGGCAAUCAAUGAUUUUGGACGAAUUGGCAGAAACUUUCUUCGUUGUUGGCACGGCCGAAAAGACUCACCCCUUGAUGUUGUUGUUGUCAACGAUAGUGGUGGUGUCAAGAAUGCUUCACACCUGUUGAAAUAUGAUUCUAUGCUGGGAACAUUUAAAGCAGAUGUGAAGAUACUAGACAAUGAAACCAUCACUGUUGAUGGUAAGCCCAUCAAGGUUGUUUCAAGCAGGGAUCCUCUUAAGCUUCCUUAGACUGAACUAGGAAUUGACAUUGUUAUUGAGAUUUUUCUUGGAAACCGUUCUGAUUGGAGAAUUUUUCACAAAGGUGGCAAGUGCUACAUCCAUUUUGGCAAUGCUAUUUUCAGCAUCUAUAGCUAUGGUGGAAUAUUACCUUCUCAAACGUUUCCCUGUUCCUUAUGGUAUGUAUGCAUGAAAGAAUGAACAGUGUGCUGGAUGACUAGUAAUUUGCCUAUUCAAAGAGCAUGUGCUUAGUACUAGAUAAUUUUAAUGGACCAAGAGGGGCUUAAUGAAGCAAUAACUUGUGAUUUUAAUGUUAAAGUUUGGAUAUGGUCUUGUAGUACUGUGCUCGGUAGGUGUAGCGACUGUAGCUUCAGUUGUUGGACAGUAUUUGGUGAGAAAGGUGGUUGCCAUAUUGGGGAGAGCAUGUGUGAUAAUUUUCAUCCUAACCUUCACACUGUGUGUGAGUGCAG